rnacentral:lncRNA from 1 species
CUCAUCCCAUCUUAUCUCUGCUCUUCUUCCACCUGGAGACGAAGGACAUGGUGCCUCGCCGACGCACGGCUCCCCGCCAUCGCUCGGCUCCUCCCUAGCCUGCUCCACUUGUGCUCCUCAUCACCACUCAGCUCCUCCCCAGCCUGCUCCACUUCCUGCUGUUCCACCCAACCCACGUCCUCCUCCUCUCCCACCCACUGAUGAUGUUGCCCUAUUCCUCAUCUCCAGCUAGUCACCGUUGAUGGGCACAUACGGUGGAGCAUUGUCUCUAGGCCCCAUGCUCCAUGUACAUCUCAAUCGACGCGCGAGGUGGUCUUGGUCAUUGAGGACCAUGUGUCUACCACAUCUGUGAGGCAUCCUUCUCUACUGUUGCAAGCGAGGCAGUAUUGUGGUGGGGAGCAGCAGCGAUGCGGUGGGGCAGGAAGUAAUGGAAGCGAUGAUGAUCGCCUCACUACGGUCCUCGGUGCCGUCGAUGGGUAGCAAGGAGGAUGAGGGAUUUUCAAGUGCUUUGUUUGCAACAUGUGAUUUAUGGAUGGUGAAUUAUAUGGAUGUUGCACCAACAGAUUUAAGAUGUUGCAUUUAUUGUUUCUUCGUGUUGCAAUACGAGAUUUUGAGAUGAUUGAUUAGCUGAUUUCGAAUGUUUCAACUGAUGAUUUCUCAUGCUACAAAAGAUGUUUUGAGAUGUUGUAAGGACAAUCUGUGAUGUUGCAAUGGGAGAAUUGACGGUGAUGUUGCACUUGUUGUUUGAAGGUGUUGCAUCUUUGAUUUAUGAAUGUUGCGAUGAGAUAUUUUGAG